rnacentral:lncRNA from 1 species
GUGGCUUUCCUUGGCCAGGGCCUGGGUGAGAGCCAAACUGAAGUGGAGGCUGUCUCCUGUGAAGUGCAGCCAGCAUUACUUGCAUUUCAUACACUUAGGCUGCUGCUUCCCGGAGAGGGGACUCCCUGCCCUCCCUCCAUCCCUGCCUCGGCUCAGACCACACCACAGCUGUGCGGCUUCCCCCUCCCCGCAGUGAGGGAGACCCCCUGGGAAGAAGACGGUCCAGUCCUGUUGCUAGAGGCAGUUUGGUCACCUGCUCGCCACCUUCAAGGUGCCUCCCAUAACUGCCACCAGGGGGCGGCAGCAGCUCGCUCAGUAGGCUUCUGUAAACGAGCUUCCCCAAAAGGCUCCGUGCCCUCCCGCGGAUGUCUUACCUCGGUCCCUGACCUGUUUGUUCCCUGGGCCAAGCCCGCGGACUCCCUGGACCCUUCACCCGUGCUUAAGGCCCCCGGCCGGCCCGCUAUCCUUCCCUGCAUAGAUUCCCAAAAUGCCGCCGUCUCACAACCGAGGUCCUCCGCAGUUCCCAAGGCCGGUCCGGGAGCUGCUGCGAGCCGGGCCUCCGCAGUGGGUUCCGGGUUCCCGGGCUCACCGUGCGCUCGCCCUUCGUCCGGCUGCGGGCCGCUUCGCGCCCCGCGAUGCGUCCUCCCCGCUAGCUCUUCGGAAACGGCCUGGCGCCGAGGCGUGGACGCACUCCCACCCGAGUGCCCCUCAGAGCGCUGCGGGCCCGGCCCGGGAGGGGCGCCGCAUCUGUAUGCGCCCGGCGGCCAGCAGCGCCGAGGGGGCGGGCACCAGGCGCCGCCCCCGCCCUCGCCGCGCGGCCCGGGCUGGCCGGGGAGGGUCGGAGGCUGGUCUCUCCUCUCCCGCGCGGCGCGGAGCCGCCUCGCUCCUCCGCAGGCGGAGCCUCCUUCCCCCGCCCCCUCCGUCUCGCUCCCUUGUUCUCGCCGGGGCCGCUCAGACCUGCAGCGGAGCCGCGGCGCCCGCUCCGAUCGGCUCGGGGCUGCGCCCCCGGGACCCGGCGACGGGGGCGGGCGGGAGCGCUCCCCGCCAAGCUGGGCCCCUAGGCACUGCCAGGUAAGGGCGCCUGCCCUGGAGCCCACGGUCGGGAAUCCGCGAAGGGGCAGCAGGGGGCCCGCAGCCUGCGGGUGUCUUCAAGCGGUGAGCGGUGCGCUCCGCGGCUGGGAGCCACUGCCGGCUCCCUUCUCCCGCGCUCUACCGCUUUCCCUUCUUCCCUCGCACCUCUUUUCCUCUUUUUCCCAUUAUUCCUCUCCCUCGAUUUCUCUUCAUCCUGCCUCCUCUUCUGCCUAUUUGCUUUUUCCGCCCCUUCCCUGUCUCCCCAACCCUUCUCUCUCCCUCUUGCCUGUCUUGCUCCAUCUCCUCUUCCUCUUUGCCUUUUUCUUCCUCCACCUCUCUCUCCUUUCCUGUCUUCCUUUUCCCGCUUUCCUUUCUCUCCCCGAUCCUACCCUCUCUCUCCUCUCCUCUUCCCUUCCCGCUAUCCUGGUUCCCACUCCUCUACCCCUACCUUCUCUCCGUCCCGCCACCCUCUCUGGUCCCCGGCUUCCCUCCGGCUUCCCUCUUCCCUCGGGAAGGAAAGGACUGCCAGGUGUGUGUCUGCUCUGGGGGAGGAGGGGCGCAGCCACAGCAGUUGAGGGGUCCCCCCUAGGAGGAGGGGGGAGACAGCGGUGGGAAGGGUCCUCUGUCUACCUCCCUUCCUGCAUCCCCUCCCGGCUGCCCCCUCUCCCAGAAUGA